rnacentral:lncRNA from 1 species
AUUUUAAGUUUUGAUUAUUUUGACUCAGUUUGGAGAAUUGUACUUAUUACUUUAUUAAUGAAUCACCACUAUUAAUAUUUUGAGGUUGUUAGUGCUCUGUUUAUUUAUUUUGAGGUUUGUUGUGCUUUGCACGUGACCUCCCUUUCCUUUUCGGGAAGGGGGUGUUACAGAGAUGGUAUCAAAGCUUAGGUUCUUUUUUGUAGAAAACCUAUUUAGGUUUGACCUGUGAGUUGUGGGUAAAUCAUUGGGUAGACGUAGGAGUUUGAUUUGAUUUUGUUCUCUGUUUGGUUGGUCUUGAUUUUGACCAAGUGUUUUUAGCUCUUUAAAUUGUAAUUGAUUUGAGAAAGGCGAGUUAACUUGUUAAGAUUAUUAUUGUUAUAUUUGUUGGAUCAAUAAUGUUAGUUAAGGAUGGUGAUUUGAUCAUUAAGGAGAAUAAUGUCAUACUUUGUUCAGUUAAGAAAUGAUUAUACGAUUAUGAUAUGAGCAUUUGUAUCAGUGAGUUUUGAUAUUGGAGAAUUAUUUGUUAGAGUUAUUACAGGUAAUUACAAA